rnacentral:rRNA from 1 species
UACGGAGGGUGCAAGCAUUAAUCGGAUUUAUUGGGCGUAAAGGGCGCGUAGGCGGCGGGAUAAGUUAGGUGUGAAAUCCUGGAGCUCAACUCCAGAACUGCACUUAAAACUGUCCCUCUAGAGGGUAGGCGGAGAAAACGGAAUUCCACAAGUAGCGGUGAAAUGCGUAGAUAUGUGGAAGAACACCUGUGGCGAAAGCGGUUUUCUAGCUUAUUCCUGACGCUAAAGCGCGAAAGCAAGGGGAGCAAAC